UACGUAGGGCGCAAGCGUUAUCCGGAAUUAUUGGGCGUAAAGCGCGCGCAGGCGGUUUCUUAAGUCUGAUGUGAAAGCCCACGGCUCAACCGUGGAGGGUCAUUGGAAACUGGGGAACUUGAGUGCAGAAGAGAAAAGCGGAAUUCCACGUGUAGCGGUGAAAUGCGUAGAGAUGUGGAGGAACACCAGUGGCGAAGGCGGCUUUUUGGUCUGUAACUGACGCUGAGGCGCGAAAGCGUGGGGAGCAAACAGG
rnacentral:rRNA from 1 species